rnacentral:rRNA from 1 species
CCUACGGGAGGCAGCAGUGAGGAAUAUUGGUCAAUGGGCGCGAGCCUGAACCAGCCAAGUCGCGUGAGGGAAGACGGUCCUAUGGAUUGUAAACCUCUUUUGUCGGGGAGCAAAAGCCGCCACGCGUGGCGUUUCGAGAGUACCCGAAGAAAAAGCAUCGGCUAACUCCGUGCCAGCAGCCGCGGUAAUACGGAGGAUGCGAGCGUUAUCCGGAUUUAUUGGGUUUAAAGGGUGCGCAGGCGGAAGAUAAAGUUAGCGGGAAAAUUGAGAGGCUCAACCUCUUCGAGCCGUUGAAACUGGUUGUCUAGAGAGAGCGAGAAGUAUGCGGAAUGCGAGGUGUAGCGGUGAAAUGCAUAGAUAUCACGCAGAACACCGAUUGCGAAGGCAGCAUACCGGCGCUCAACUGACGCUCAUGCACGAAAGUGUGGGGAGCGAACAGGAGUAGAUACCCUAGUAGUC